rnacentral:rRNA from 1 species
UACAGAGGGGGCAAGCGUUAUUCGGAAUUAUUGGGCGUAAAGGGCGCGUAGGCGGCCUGGCAAGUGGGAUGUGAAAUCCCCAGGCUUAACCUGGGAACUGCAUUCGAGACUGCAUUGCUAGAGUAUGGGAGAGGGAAGUGGAAUUUCCGGUGUAGCGGUGAAAUGCGUAGAUAUCGGAAGGAACAUCAGUGGCGAAAGCGACUUCCUGGACCAAUACUGACGCUCAUGUGCGAAAGCGUGGGGAGCAAACAGG